AAUCCGUGGUAUGGGCACUUCUAAAUUAGCGUCUUAAAACCCUCCCAUGCUUCAUGAAAACUUUCUCCUUCUAAUUGUUUGAACAUAAAAAUUCCUCUUCUUAGCU
rfam:Gossypium arboreum cultivar AKA8401 contig_38820_3, whole genome shotgun sequence.